AUUGAACGCUGGCGGCAUGCUUUACACAUGCAAGUCGAACGGCAGCGCGGGCUUCGGCCUGGCGGCGAGUGGCGAACGGGUGAGUAAUACAUCGGAACGUGCCCAGUAGUGGGGGAUAGCUCGGCGAAAGCCGGAUUAAUACCGCAUACGACCUGAGGGUGAAAGCGGGGGAUCUUCGGACCUCGCGCUAUUGGAGCGGCCGAUGGCAGAUUAGCUAGUUGGUGGGGUAAAGGCCUACCAAGGCGACGAUCUGUAGCUGGUCUGAGAGGACGACCAGCCACACUGGGACUGAGACACGGCCCAGACUCCUACGGGAGGCAGCAGUGGGGAAUUUUGGACAAUGGGCGAAAGCCUGAUCCAGCAAUGCCGCGUGUGUGAUGAAGGCCUUCGGGUUGUAAAGCACUUUUGGCGGGAACGAAAAGGACUGUGCCAAUACCAAGGUUCGAUGACGGUACCCGCAGAAUAAGCACCGGCUAACUACGUG
rnacentral:rRNA from 1 species